AUACGGAGGAUCCGAGCGUUAUCCGGAUUUAUUGGGUUUAAAGGGAGCGUAGGUGGACAGUUAAGUCAGUUGUGAAAGUUUGCGGCUCAACCGUAAAAUUGCAGUUGAUACUGGCUGUCUUGAGUACAGUAGAGGUGGGCGGAAUUCGUGGGGUAGCGGUGAAAUGCUUAGAUAUCACGAAGAACUCCGAUUGCGAAGGCAGCUCACUGGACUGCAACUGACACUGAUGCUCGAAAGUGUGGGUAUCAAACAGGAUUAGAUACCCUGGUAGUCCACACAGUAAACGAUGAAUACUCGCUGUUUGCGAUAUACAGUAAGCGGCCAAGCGAAAGCAUUAAGUAUUCCACCUGGGGAGUACGCCGGCAACGGUGAAACUCAAAGGAAUUGACGGGG
rnacentral:rRNA from 1 species